GGGCGGUUAGUUCAGUUGGUUAGAACGUCUCUCUUACACAGAGAAGGUCGGGGGUUCGAGUCCUCUACCGCCCACCA
rnacentral:tRNA from 1 species